GACGUAGUGGAAGUAAGCUGGAUAGAUGCGCCAUAGAAGGUUAAAGCCCUGUAAACGGAACGGCGGACUCUCCGUCCAGGAUCCUGAGUACGGCGGAACACGAGAAAGGCAGUCGGAAUCAGGGAGGACCGGUUCCCAAGGCUAAAUACUCUAUAGUGACCGAUAGUGAACCAGUACCGUGAGGGAAAGGUGAAAAGCACCCCGGAAGGGGAGUGAAACAGUUCCUGAACCCGUGUGCCUACAAUUAGUCAAAGCCCGUUAGCGGGUAAGGGCGUGCCUUUUGUAGAAUGAAACGGCGAGUUACGUUUGCCUGCGAGGUUUAGAUGAAAAGUCGGAGCCGGAGCGAAAGCGAGUCUGAACAGGGC
rnacentral:rRNA from 2 species